GAUGAACGCUGGCGGCGUGCCUAAUACAUGCAAGUCGAGCGAACAGACGAGGAGCUUGCUCCUUUGACGUUAGCGGCGGACGGGUGAGUAACACGUGGAUAACCUACCUAUAAGACUGGGAUAACUUCGGGAAACCGGAGCUAAUACCGGAUAAUAUAUUGAACCGCAUGGUUCAAUAGUGAAAGACGGUUUUGCUGUCACUUAUAGAUGGAUCCGCGCCGCAUUAGCUAGUUGGUAAGGUAACGGCUUACCAAGGCAACGAUGCGUAGCCGACCUGAGAGGGUGAUCGGCCACACUGGAACUGAGACACGGUCCAGACUCCUACGGGAGGCAGCAGUAGGGAAUCUUCCGCAAUGGGCGAAAGCUUGACGGAGCAACGCCGCGUGAGUGAUGAAGGUCUUCGGAUCGUAAAACUCUGUUAUUAGGGAAGAACAAAUGUGUAAGUAACUAUGCACGUCUUGACGGUACCUAAUCAGAAAGCAACGGCUAACUACGUG
rnacentral:rRNA from 1 species